rnacentral:rRNA from 1 species
UCCUGAGUACGGCGGAACACGUGAAAUUCCGUCGGAAUCCGGGAGGACCAUCUCCCAAGGCUAAAUACUCCCUAGUGACCGAUAGUGAACCAGUACCGUGAGGGAAAGGUGAAAAGCACCCCGGAAGGGGAGUGAAACAGUUCCUGAAACCGUGUGCCUACAAGUAGUUAGAGCCCGUUAAUGGGUGAUAGCGUGCCUUUUGUAGAAUGAACCGGCGAGUUACGAUUUGUUGCAAGGUUAAGCGGAAAAAGCGGAGCCGUAGCGAAAGCGAGUCUGAAUAGGGCGCAUAAGUAACAGGUCGUAGACCCGAAACCAGGUGAUCUACCCAUGUCCAGGAUGAAGGUAAGGUAAUACUUACUGGAGGUCCGAACCCACGCACGUUGAAAAGUGCGGGGAUGAGGUGUGGGUAGCGGAGAAAUUCCAAUCGAACUUGGAGAUAGCUGGUUCUCUCCGAAAUAGCUUUAGGGCUAGCCUCGAGGUAAAGAGUCAUGGAGGUAGAGCACUGUUUGGACUAGGGGCCCUUCUCGGGUUACCGAAUUCAGAUAAACUCCGAAUGCCAUGUACUUAUACUCGGGAGUCAGACUGCGAGUGAUAAGAUCCGUAGUCGAAAGGGAAACAGCCCAGACCACCAGUUAAGGUCCCCAAAUAUAUGUUAAGUGGAAAAGGAUGUGGGGUUGCUUAGACAACCAGGAUGUUGGCUUAGAAGCAGCCACCAUUGAAAGAGUGCGUAAUAGCUCACUGGUCGAGUGACCCCGCGCCGAAAAUGUACCGGGGCUAAACAUAUUACCGAAACUGUGGAUGAACCUCUUUAGAGGUUCGUGGUAGGAGAGCGUUCUAAGGGCGGUGAAGUCAGACCGGAAGGACUGGUGGAGCGCUUAGAAGUGAGAAUGCCGGUAUGAGUAGCGAAAGAAGGGUGAGAAUCCCUUCCACCGAAUAUCUAAGGUUUCCUGAGGAAGGCUCGUCCGCUCAGGGUUAGUCGGGACCUAAGCCGAGGCCGAUAGGCGUAGGCGAUGGACAACAGGUAGAGAUUCCUGUACCAGUGCUAAUUGUUUAACCGAUGGGGUGACACAGAAGGAUAGGGAAUCGCACGAAUGGAAAUGUGCGUCCAAGCAGUGAGUGUGAGAAGUAGGCAAAUCCGCUUCUCGCGAAGCAUGAGCUGUGAUGGGGAAGGAAAUUAAGUACGGAAGUUCCUGAUUUCACGCUGUCAAGAAAAGCCUCUAGGAAGAGUAGUACUGCCCGUACCGCAAACCGACACAGGUAGAUGAGGAGAGAAUCCUAAGGUGAGCGAGAGAACUCUCGUUAAGGAACUCGGCAAAAUGACCCCGUAACUUCGGGAGAAGGGGUGCUCUAUUAGGGUGCAAGCCCGAGAGAGCCGCAGUGAAUAGGCCCAGGCGACUGUUUAGCAAAAACACAGGUCUCUGCAAAACCGUAAGGUGACGUAUAGGGGCUGACGCCUGCCCGGUGCUGGAAGGUUAAGAGGAGUGCUUAGCUUCGGCGAAGGUACGAAUUGAAGCCCCAGUAAACGGCGGCCGUAACUAUAACGGUCCUAAGGUAGCGAAAUUCCUUGUCGGGUAAGUUCCGACCCGCACGAAAGGCGCAACGAUCUGGGCACUGUCUCAACGAGAGACUCGGUGAAAUUAUAGUACCUGUGAAGAUGCAGGUUACCCGCGACAGGACGGAAAGACCCCGUGGAGCUUUACUGCAACCUGAUAUGGAAUGUUUGUACCGCUUGUACAGGAUAGGUAGGAGCCGAAGAGACGUGUGCGCUAGCAUACGAGGAGGCAAUGGUGGGAUACUACCCUGGCUGUAUGACCAUUCUAACCCGCCACGCUUAGCGCGUGGGGAGACAGUGUCAGGUGGGCAGUUUGACUGGGGCGGUCGCCUCCUAAAGAGUAACGGAGGCGCCCAAAGGUUCCCUCAGAAUGGAUGGAAAUCAUUCGCAGAGUGUAAAGGCACAAGGGAGCUUGACUGCGAGACUGACAAGUCGAGCAGGGACGAAAGUCGGGCUUAGUGAUCCGGUGGUUCCGCAUGGAAGGGCCAUCGCUCAACGGAUAAAAGCUACCCCGGGGAUAACAGGCUUAUCUCCCCCAAGAGUCCACAUCGACGGGGAGGUUUGGCACCUCGAUGUCGGCUCGUCGCAUCCUGGGGCUGUAGUCGGUCCCAAGGGUUGGGCUGUUCGCCCAUUAAAGCGGCACGCGAGCUGGGUUCAGAACGUCGUGAGACAGUUCGGUCCCUAUCCGUCGCGGGCGCAGGAAAUUUGAGAGGAGCUGUCCUUAGUACGAGAGGACCGGGAUGGACACACCGCUGGUGUACCAGUUGUUCCGCCAGGAGCAUCGCUGGGUAGCUAUGUGUGGCAGGGAUAAACGCUGAAAGCAUCUAAGCGUGAAGCCCCCCUCAAGAUGAGAUUUCCCAUUUCUUCGGAAAGUAAGAUCCCUGAAAGAUGAUCAGGUAGAUAGGUUUGGAGUGGAAGUGUAGCGAUACAUGGAGCGGACAAAUACUAAUCGAUCGAGGACUUAACCAA